rnacentral:lncRNA from 1 species
CUAUUCCAUGGAUCGACUCACGAUCAAAAGGUGUGGGUUGAUCUAGGACUUGAUCCGACGGCUGAAGUGAUUUUGGGCUAUUGUUUGGGCCUGAUUAGGAUUCCUAAUCCUAAUCUAACCUAGGUUUAAGGCCUUUAAAAGCCUGUGUACACAAAUAGAGAACGGAAGGUGGCUAGUGAUCUCGUGGAUGCGUGGACGGCUCCGCGCGGUGCUUUGUUUCUUCAGCAAAAAUAGAGAACCCCGUGA